GGGAAAAGAGAUAAGUACCUUCCCGAAAAUAAGCUUAAUCUUCGCUCGCGUUUCUCCGCCUCAAUAUUCUCCCUACUCCCAUGAAACCUUACGGAGCCAAAAAAAUGCUAUAUGGUUUUUGAUAACAAUCUCAAGGGUUUUUUAUAAAAAUCUUGGGGUUAUUUUCGAAAACAGAACCAAUCACUUGAAGGUUCUAUCAUUUAUUUUUUGCAGGCUUCGGAGAAUCAAGUUCAGUUGAAGUUGAUUUCAUUAUGUUAGGUUUCCUAUUAAUGUAUUCAUUUUUUUUAGUACUGUUUUCGAUUCAACAAAAUCCUAUUUUCCAUUUGUAAACCUAACCCUAUUCUGUUUUUGUUUUAUUUUGUAGCUUGGUGUGAUUUUUACUGGAAAAGGUAUCAUAUUUGGUACAAAACCCUAACCCUCUUCUCCAUUUGUCUAUUUAUUUCUCAAAUUUUUCUCUUCAUCAAUUAUACUCAAAUUAUAUAUACAACUUUGUUAUAUUAUCGAUGGCAAGGUUAUUGGGAAUAAUUCCCAAAAAUAGGUAUAGAUCUCUUCUCUGAUUAAUUCUGAAGUUUAAAUAGAUUAGUAGGCUUGUAGUAUAACUAACAACAACAAGCAAACCACAAUCAUGGACUAUCACGUUAGUAGGCAUGAAAGUUGAAUCAUACUAUAAGUGUUAAUAACCCCUUUGAAGCAGUUUGCUGAAUGAGAGUAUGACAUUAAAAUUUCAGGAUUCAGAUAAUUUUGGCUAUAAUGGCUAUUUCAAGCUGUGAUACAAUUCUAAUUAAGCUCGGGCCUCAUUAAAAGGUCACAAAUUAAAUCUAAUUUAGCUCUGAUAAUCGUUUUUAGUUUUAACACCUAUUACAUAAAUUAAAAGGUCGAAAACUUGGAGAGACUAUCAUAGAAUUCUCUGAACAAUCAGGGGUUCAGUUGCAUCUAAAGUUCAUACCUCCACUCUCUUGAUGCGGAUAGAGAAAAUAAAAUCAUGAAGAUAAUUAUAAAAUAUCCAAGGAGAUGGACUUGAUUGCUGAAAGAUUAAUUGAUGAACACCGACGAAUAAGGAGACUUCAAUCACUAUUAGACCCAACGCAUAAUAUUACAAACUGAAGACAUCAUGGAGGACAUAAAUUUAGUUGAGAGACAGAGAAUGGAUGGAUGAUCACGACGCAUCAAAAUAUCAACCUUCAUAGAUCAUUUGCAAAUAAGUGGACUUAUCACCAGUGUCCGCAAAGCUCUAUACCUUGAUUGGCUGUCAAGGAUAUGGAUUUUGUUUUUUUCCGUUAAAGCCUUUACUCUUCAAAAUGGUAAGCCACCACUUCAUCAUGGCUGCACAAUUAUGGUAAGGCUUGAACUGUGGCUAAUUGUCCAAAAAUUGUGAAGCACACAACUCUGGUGGUAAUCUCUUAUUCUCGAGAUAUCUCUUAAUCUUCUACACUAUUUUUUUAGCGUUUGCGGCUUACUUAUUUUUGUUCCAUAUCUUUGUGUACUCUAUAUUCUUUUCUUAUUUUUAUACUCUUACCAGAAUAAGGACUACAUAUGGCCACUACUCAUGCUAACAAAAAUUGGAUUGUUGUUAUGUGUAUUCUUUUCUCAUUAAAUUUUAUAUUUUAAUAAUUCCGUUUUUUUUGAAGCAUAUAAAACAAAUUAAUUGGAUAUCCAGAUAAUUUUAAUGUAGAUGUCCGGCUGGGUGUAUUGACUCAUGGGGAUUGGCAGAUUCGGAAGACCACAAGGAGUUGUAAUGAUGAAAGGGGCAUUUGAUGUACCAUCGGCAGGUGCACUUAAAUAUACAUACUACAUCUAUAAAUGCAAAAAUCUGUGUUAAUUUUUUUUUUACACAUCAUAAUACAUUACUCUCACCAUUAUCACAAACUGGACGGGCUCGAAGGUGGCGAAUUAAGGUGGAAAUGUUACUUCUUAUAAAGGCAAUUAUACCCAUGUCAAAAAGUUAUUUAAAUAGUAUGCUGAUUAUUUCAUACCUUUACUCGAAGGGUUGUCUUACUGGGUCUUAUCAGUGUGAUCAACUUCUUAGUUUGGUUUGGGAAACCAUUUUAUUGACUUUUUUAGGAGUUAGUACGCGGCAUGUUUUUGACAAGAACCGUGGGUUUUUUUUAUUCUGAGAUUCUCAUCUAAUAUAUUUUCGUUUCUAAUCUUUGUCCAGUAAGUUCAUAUGAGAUUUCAAAUUCUCGAAUGUCAAUCUUAACCCAUACAUAGAUGCAAACCUCUCAAAGGUAUUCUUAUUUUCUAGAUGCAAACCAGUCAAAGACAUUCACAUUCUCCAUUGAAGGUACAACAACCAAGGUAAGCUAGAAACAAUUUAUUCUUUUGAAGAUCACAGAAUCUCUGAUCCAAUUGUUUGAAUAAAACGCAUCAGUUUUAAUACGAUGUAUGUGAUUACUUUGAGAUAUGAAACCUGUAGUUGAAGGACAAUGCUGGAGUAGGUCAUGCUAAUUGCAUUUUACAUUGUUAUUGGAGUUAAUGCUGCAUUUUGAAUUCUUUUCAGGGGAUUAAGACACCAUUUCUACCAUGCAGAUAUUAUAGUUUAUCCGUAGUCCUUAUUUAAUUUCUGAUUUUGGUCUGUGUUUUCAUGCCACUGAAUGGUGCCUUGGUGUGCUUCUUUCUGGUGUUGCAAUAAGUUUAAGUACUUGCUGAUGGUUAGCUGUCAAGAUGCAGUGGUAUAACAAUAUGUUUGACAUUUUUUGGGACACAUUUGGCUCGCAUUUUAAGAUACAAAAAAAAGUGGUUGAAAGUGAAGUUAGUCAAAUGAGGGAGAAGGCAAACUAUGUAUCUCGGUUAGAGCUGAGGAUGCAAAAGACAGACAAAAGAGUCAUUCGAUCUUUAGUAACCAUAUUCUGCUUCGUACUGGGGACAGUUGUAAUGUGUAAGUGCAUUUUGGGACACGGAACAAAGGGAUUGUUAGUUUUUGUUUUAAAUAGGCACCGCACAAAACAUUUUUGAUCCUUCAAUCAAUUGUAUCUCAUAUGCUCUUUUGGGGUUCAA